rnacentral:rRNA from 1 species
GAUGAACGCUGGCGGCGUGCCUAAUACAUGCAAGUCGAGCGAACAGAUGAGGAGCUUGCUCCUCUGACGUUAGCGGCGGACGGGUGAGUAACACGUGGAUAAACUACCUAUAAAACUGGGAUAACUUAGGGAAACCGGAGCGAAUACCGGAUAAUAUAAUGAAACGAAUGGCCCAAUAGUGAAAGAAGGUGUUGAAGUGACUAAUAGAUGGAGCCGGGCCGCAGUAGCUAGUGGGUAAGGGAACGGCAUACCAAGGCUACGAUGCGUAGCAGAACUCAGAGCGUGAUCCGCCACACUGGCUCUGAGACUCGGUCCCGACUCCUGCGCGAGGCAGCAGUACGGAAUCUUCCGCAAUGGGCGAAAGCCUGACGGUGCACCGCCGCGUGAGUGCUGAAGGUCUUCGGCUCCUAAAACUCUGUUAUUAGUGAAUAACUAAUGUGUUAGUAGCUAUGCACGUCUUGACGGUACCUAAUCAGAAAGCCCCGGCUAACUACGUG